rnacentral:lncRNA from 1 species
CCUUUGGCCACACUGAGUUUGAAAGGUGCUGUGCAUGGUAACAUGGGAUUGAAUGACUGAUUGGUCUACUAACUGAUUAAUUGAUAAGUGAUCCUGAGACCUCUUUCUAAGAUGAAACUCACUUUGAGGACCCUGGCUGACUCAGAUACACCCUGGACAAGCACAGAUAGAAAACAAAGAAGGCGCACAUGCAGCAGGAAUGCCUUGGAGGGGAAGAGCCCACAUUCAUGUAGCUCACCUGCAUGACAGGUGAAGGAAGGGCUUGUGGAGGGUCACCUAGUUCACCAGCAACAGAUCAGGGA